AUUGAACGCUGGCGGCAUGCCUUACACAUGCAAGUCGAACGGUAACAGGUCUUCGGAUGCCGACGAGUGGCGAACGGGUGAGUAAUGCAUCGGAACGUGCCCAGUAGUGGGGGAUAGCCCGGCGAAAGCCGGAUUAAUACCGCAUACGACCUGAGGGUGAAAGGGGGGGAUCGCAAGACCUCUCGCUAUUGGAGCGGCCGAUGUCAGAUUAGCUAGUUGGUGGGGUAAAGGCCUACCAAGGCAACGAUCUGUAGUUGGUCUGAGAGGACGACCAGCCACACUGGGACUGAGACACGGCCCAGACUCCUACGGGAGGCAGCAGUGGGGAAUUUUGGACAAUGGGCGCAAGCCUGAUCCAGCAAUGCCGCGUGCAGGAAGAAGGCCUUCGGGUUGUAAACUGCUUUUGUCAGGGAAGAAAUCUUCUGGGUUAAUACCUCGGGAGGAUGACGGUACCUGAAGAAUAAGCACCGGCUAACUACGUGCCAGCCGCCGCGGUAAAAC
rnacentral:rRNA from 1 species